rnacentral:misc_RNA from 1 species
GCAAACUUGGUCAUUUAGAGGAAGUAAAAGUCGUAACAAGGUUUCCGUAGGUGAACCUGCGGAAGGAUCAUUACUGAAUUACCGAUGGAGUUGAUGCUGGCGUCUCGGCGCAUGUGCUCGCUCUGUCAAAUUCACCCUUACCACCUGUGAACCUUUGUAGACCAACAGUACCUCUCAACGUUCAUUCGUUGGAUCGCGGGAUUUGCGCCUCAGCUAUCCUGCAAUUCGGUUGGUCUAUCUUAUCCCCUAUAAACAAGUCUUAGAAUGUUCUUUGUUGGUCGCAAGACCGAUAAAACUUAUACAACUUUCAACAACGGAUCUCUUGGCUCUCGCAUCGAUGAAGAACGCAGC